UCAUGCCUCUAUUUAUAUUCUUAUUCAUACAUAUUUAUAAUCCUCUAACUAUAUUAUCUCUUUAAACUUGCACAUCAUAUCUAAAACUUUUAGAGCAUUGUGAUAAAGUAAUUUAAUCUUAAUCUUAAAGACAUUCUCUAGAAAAUUUCCUUUUAAGACUUUGUAAAAAAAAUAUUUCCGAAUCAACCUUUUAGCAUCAAGUUAUGAAGCUUAGAUUAAAUGCUGCGAGUUGAACUCAAACGAAUCAAACCAUAAUACCCAAACAAUUAAAUAAUCACAAAUCCAUUAUGCAAAGAAAUUAAAUUUUCCUUACCUGAUUAAGUCGAAUGAGCCUCAACACAACUAAGCUAACCACGGCUGUUGCUAGACACACUGUUUAGCUUUGCACAACCUUCCAUGGGACACCAAAUGGCGUCGUUCGGCCC
rnacentral:lncRNA from 1 species